rnacentral:rRNA from 1 species
UAGGGAAUCUUCGGCAAUGGGGGGAACCCUGACCGAGCAACGCCGUGUGAGUGAAGAAGGUUUUCGGAUCGUAAAGCUCUGUUGCUAAGGAAGAACGAGUGUGAGAAUGGAAAGUUCAUGCUGUGACGGUACUUAACCAGAAAGGGACGGCUAACUACGUGCCAGCAGCCGCGGUAAUACGUAGGUUCUGAGCGCUGCCCGGACUUAUUGGGCGUAAAGCGAGCGCAGGCGGUUAGAAAAGGAUGAAGUGAAAGGCAGUGGCUCAACCAUUGUAAGCUUUGGAAACUGUUUAACUUGAGUGCAGAAGAGGAGAGUGGAAUUCCAUGUGUAGCGGUGAAAUGCGUAGAUAUAUGGAGGAACACCGGUGGCGAAAGCGACUCUCUGGUCUGUAACUGACGCUGAGGCUCGAAAGCGUGGGGAGCGAACAGG